rnacentral:lncRNA from 1 species
CUCUUACACGACGAGUCGUCGGCUUUAGUUUUUUUUUUCCUCCUCGUGGCCGCGACGUUGGGAGCUCUGGUGAUUUAUAAAUGUUUGGGGGUACAAUAAAAAAGCGACCGUGGUAAGUGGGGACGGGUGAUGAGAACGAGAGGAAAGAAAAAGAUCGACUUCCCGCCCUUCUCUCUUCUUGAAAUCUAGAGCGGUGGUGUAGAAAGAGACAGAAGAGAGAAGAGAGAAGAGAGAGAGAGAGAGAGAGG